UGUUAUGUGCAACGGUCGGUGGAUCAUGGUGGACAAGAAGAUCUGACUCUAAACGAGGUACGUCUCAAACUGACUAUGGCCGUGGGGCACAACUUAACAUGCUUAAAGAGGUGGUGGUGAUGGACAGGAACAAGUUGUAGAAAUGGCUAAGAAGGCCUCUGCUGGAUGUUUUGAAGAGAGCUGGCAUUCGGAUUCCCACCAGAAUGAACUUUCUCUGACAUUGUUCCUUCCUUACCUUCCAUCCAAACCAAUGCUUCAGGGAAUUAUCAUAUUUCCAUGAUUCAAUCCACUUUUCAAAGAUCACAUUGUUUGAAAUUCCUCAAUAAAAACUUCUUUUUUGGCUGUGAAGGAACUCUUUUGAUUGGACUGUUUUAUGUGGAUCAUACAAAAUUCUGUGAACAUUUUGGAAAAAUUAUUAUGUGCCAUUCAUAUUCAAAUAUGUUCCCUUUCUCACUGUAUCACCAUCUUUUUGAACCCAGGACCUCACACACAGGAGGCCUCACUGUUCCCAUCUUAAUA
rnacentral:lncRNA from 1 species